CUUGUUAUGUCAAUGGUAUCAUUCAUUUGUUCUUGAUUUGUUUCUAGUCGUCAACUUUGGUCUGCUAAAAGCAACAUUUAAAAAAGAUAUUCUAAGCAUCGAUACGUGGUUGACGCUUCAUGGAAUACAUUUUCUGUACAUAUUAUUGUGUAUCGAUGUCUUUACUAUUACUUAUUAUUAUUCUAUGUAUGCUUGUAUUUAUUGUCUUUACCUAUUAUUGGUGAUAUCAUUUCGCAUGGAAGAACGUAAAAACAGCAUUUUUCAUAAAAUAAUGAAUUACUUUUGUCGUUUAUUUUAGACGUGAACAUUAUUUUAAGAUAUAUAAUACAUAUGUUAUAGAAUUGUCAGACCAGAGAAGCAAAAUGUGCUAAGGUGACACUAAAAUACUACUAUUUAACUACUAUUUAG